UAGUUGUCCACGCGGGUCGAUGCCGGGGACGUCUAGCGGAACUGCCAGCGUAAGCUGCGAGGAAGGUGGGGAGUGACGUCAAAUCAGCACGGCCCUUACGUCCAGGGCUACACACGUGUUACAAUGGCCGGUACAGAGGGCAGCCACCCCGCGAGGGGGCGCGAAUCCCGAAAGCCGGUCCCAGUUCGGAUCGGAGUCUGCAACCCGACUCCGUGAAGCUGGAUUCGCUAGUAAUCGCGCAUCAGCCACGGCGCGGUGAAUACGUUCCCGGGCCUU
rnacentral:rRNA from 1 species